rnacentral:lncRNA from 10 species
AUGAGAGCCGUAUCAGCACCUGCUGGAAUUUUGGCUCCUACUUGUAAGAAGACAUUUCUGAACUUGAUCUUGUUGCUGGAAAUGUCUCCGUGGAAUUCCAUUUCACCGCAGGUAGCUUUUACUGAGACCCUUGCUUGAAGUAGGAGAUCCAGGCUCUGGAGAUGGAGCCGGGAGAAAUUAUAGCCUCAUGCACACAGGGCUUGCUCCAUGCUCCCUCCAACUGCCUCCCGACUCCUGAUGCCCACCCCGUCUAGAAAGCUCUUCCCUCCGACACACAACAUGCGUGUGGCUCUUCCCUUUGCUCCUUGCCUCUCUGCUGGAAUGCCCCUCAUCUCAGAGCUGUCCCUGCCUAACCCCCGCUCUCACUCCCUUCACCCGCUGUGAUUUUCUACAAAGCACAGAUCACCAUUGGACAUUGGCACGAGGUAGCCUUACUUGCUACUGGUGUGUGGGGGUACAUUUUGGCCAAGUGAAGCUCAAGACCCCUGCUCUGCAGCCAAGCAGAAGUGUUGAAGAGCUGCUAUACGAGACAUCUAAGGAAAGGGAGACAAGUGGGAGGUGAAGCUGUCCUGCAGCUGAGAGAGACCACUGGGAGAGUUGAGGGCCGCUGGAGGAGGAGCAGUGAGGGGCACUGCAUAGGUGUGCCCAGGAUUUGGAGGUCAGGGAAGUGAGGGAGAACCUGCAAAGGAGACUGAGAAGGCAGAGAAGCAAGAGAGGGCUGGAUCCUGGAAGCUGGUGAAGAAAUAAGGAUAACUUUGCCCACUCCUGACAGAGAAGUUGGAUGGAGACAGAAUUGGCCGUGGACUCAACUGUGUGGAGUCAAUUCUGGGGACCUUGGCAAGUGCUGCUCAAGUGAGUGCUGGUGUGAUCAGCAGAGAGCAGGAGGAGGUGAAGUGGAGACCUGGCACAGGCCAGCCUGGAGGGCUUCGCUUAGAUAGGGAGGCGGGAACUCCAUUAUUUAUAAAAGCAGAUGGCCAGCAUGCGCAAUGCCAUUUGCAACUGGGAUAUCCAUGGUGACGCUGUGAUUUACUCACAUGUGAUAAGAAUGUAGUUGACCCAGCGUAUGUAUGUAGAUUCAUCCUAAAUAAAUG